UACGGGGGGGGCAAGCGUUGUUCGGAAUUACUGGGCGUAAAGGGCUCGUAGGCGGCCAACUAAGUCAUACGUGAAAUCCCUCGGCUUAACCGGGGAACUGCGUCCAAGACUGGGAGGCUUGAAUCCGGGAGAGGGAUGCGGAAUUCCAGGUGUAGCGGUGAAAUGCGUAGAUAUCUGGAGGAACACCGGUGGCGAAGGCGGCAUCCUGGACCGGUAUUGACACUGAGGCGCGAAAGCCAGGGGAGCAAACGGG
rnacentral:rRNA from 1 species